rnacentral:rRNA from 1 species
AUGGAGGUGGCUCUCGGCUCGGCGGCCUCGCUCCUCGGCAAGGUGUUGAGGACGCUGUCCGACAGCCUGGUGGCGGUUUACGUGGACAGCCUUCAGCUCGGCCACAACUCCGAGCAGAUCAAGGACAAGCUGCUGCACGCGCAAGGCCUCCUGCACAACGCCCAGGGGAGCCAUGUCUGCCACAGCCCUGGCCUGCAGGGGUUGCUGGAGAAGUUGAGCAGGGACGCCGACCAGGCAGAGGACCUGCUGGAUGAGCUCCACUACUUCCAGAUCCAUGACAGGCUACACGGCACCCACUACGCCACCACCCAAGAGGCCGGCGUUGAUGGCCUCAGGCAUCAAGCUCUCCAUGCCGGUACUGCUCUUCGCCACACCUUAGUCCGGUUCUUUUAUUCCUCGCGUACACCCAAGACCAAGAGGGAUGGUAGUGAUGAUGAUGCUGCUGUUGUCGGCCGCGUCACCAAAAAAUCCAAAACCAACUCUGCUAGUGCUAGUGCUAGUGCUGAUGGUGAUGAUAUGCUGCAUUUCGACAGAGUGUCCAUGUCCAGCAAGAUCAAGUCCCUGUUACAGGGCAUGCAGUCCCACUGUGAUUCGGUCUCCAAUUUGCUCGGCAUCGGCAGUAUCCCAAGCAAUGGCACCGCAUUGUCAGUCGUCCUACAUCGGCCUCAGACUGCUUCCAUGAUUAUACAAGACACAUUGUAUGGCAGGAGAGACGUUUUUGAGGAAACUGUCAAUCGUAUCACCACUCUUACCGGUACCGCACAGACUGAGACUGUUUCUGUUCUUCCUAUAGUUGGUCCAGGGGGGAUUGGCAAGACAACUUUAGCCCAACAUCUUUAUAAUGAUGGCAGGACUAAAAAGCACUUUGAUGUUCCAGUCUGGGUAUGCGUAUCGACUGAUUUCGAUGUGCUUAAGCUCACCAGGGAGAUCCUUGCCUGCAUAACUGCAACUGAAGAAGGAGGAAGGGGCAGUGCUGCAAAUGAAACAACCAAUUUAGACCAGCUUCAGAAAUCCAUUGCGCGCCGUAUCAAGUCCAAGAGGUUUCUGAUUGUCUUGGAUGAUAUAUGGAGAUGUGACGGUGAGGAUCAGUGGAAGACCCUGCUAGCUCCGUUCACAAAGGGGGAAGCCAAAGGAAGCAUGGUACUUGUCACAACUCGAUUCCCAAAGGUAGCAGACAUGGUGAAAACAGUUGAUCCACUAGAGCUGCGAGGUUUGGAGUCUAAUGACUUCUUCACAUUCUUUGAAGCAUGUAUAUUUGGUGAAGACGACAAGCCUGAGCAUUACGAAGAUGAGUUUGCUGGUAUUGCACGAAAAAUAGCAAACAAGCUAAAGGGUUCCCCACUCGCAGCCAAAACAGUUGGUAGACUAUUGCACAAGCACCUUUCUCAGGAACAUUGGAAUGGAGUUCUUGAAAAGCAUCAGUGGCUAAAGCAGCAAGAAAAUGAUGAUAUCAUGCAAUCUUUAAAGAUUAGCUACGAUUACCUCCCAUUUGAUCUGAAGAAAUGCUUUUCCUAUUGUGGCCUUUUCCCUGAAGAUCAUAGGUUUACUUCUUCAGAAAUCAAUCAUUUCUGGGUUGCAACAGGCAUCAUAGACUCUAAUCACCAAGCCGAUAGGAAUUACUUGGAAGAACUAGUGGACAAUGGUUUUCUCAUGAAGGAAUUAGAUGAUUACGUUGGUGGAUACUGCUAUGUAAUGCAUGAUUUAAUGCAUGAGCUAUCUAAGAGUGUUUCUGCACAGGAAUGCCACAAUAUAAGUGGCUUUGGUUUCAGAGCUGACGCCAUCUCGCAAUCUGUUCGGCACUUAUCUAUCAACAUAGAAGACAUAUAUGAUGCAAAUUUUGAGAAAGAAAUGUGUAAACUAAGGGAGAGGAUAGAUAUUGCUAAUCUGCGGACUUUGAUGAUUUUUAGAGAGUAUGAAGAAGAAAGAAUCGCCAAGAUUUUGAAAGAUAACUUCAAGGAAAUAAAUAGUCUGCGUGUCCUAUUUAUAGUGGUGAAGUCUGCACAAUCUUUUCCGGAUAGGUUUCCAAAACUUAUCCACCUCCAAUACCUCAAAAUUAGUUCAUCUCUUGAUGGUGACAGGGAAAUGAGGUUACCUAGCACAUUACCAAGAUUUUAUCACUUGAAAUUCUUGGACCUAUAUGAUUGGAAUGGUCGUUCUGAUUUGCCUGAAGACUUUAGCCACCUUGAGAAUUUACAUGAUUUCCAUGCUCGAAGUCAUCUCCACUCCAACAUUCGCAAUGUGGGAAAGAUGAAACAUCUGCAGGAGCUAAAAGAAUUCCAUGUUAAAAAGGAGAGCAUGGGAUUUGAACUAACAGAACUUGGGGCAUUGGCAGAGCUUGAAGGACGACUGGUUAUACGUAGUCUUGAUCAAGUGGCAACCAAGGAGGAAGCUACUGCAGCCAAACUGAUGUUGAAAAGGAAUCUGAAGGAGCUGGAAUUACUCUGGGGAAGGGAUGGACCAACUACAGAUGUUGAUAUUCUUGCAAGCUACUUGACCCAAACAGAGCUGGAAUUAGUGUGGGGUAGAGAUGUUCAAACUGCAGAUGCUGAUAUUCUUGAUGCUCUUCAACCACACUCUAAUCUUAGAGUACUUACAAUUGCAAAUCAAGGUGGUACUGUUGGUCCUAGUUGGUUGUGUCUUGACAUCUGGUUAACUAGUUUAGAGAGACUCACUAUAGAAGGCGUAUGUUGGAGCACCCUCCCACCUUUUGGGAAGCUACCAAAUCUCAAGGUACUCAAUUUGAAGAAAAUUUCUGGAAUGAAUCAGUUUGGGCUGCGAUGUGGUGGCGCUCCAGGGAAAUGUUCUAUGCGCUUGAAGACAGUCGAGUUUUAUGAUAUACCACAACUUGCUGAGUGGGUUGUGGAACCUAAUUGCCAUUCCUUUCCAAGUCUUGAAACAAUCGAAUGCAUCGGUUGUCCCAAUCUCUGUGUGAUGCCCUUGUCGGAGGUAUCUUGCACCAAUUUGCGCACACUUCGAAUUGUCAAGUGCCCCAAGAUGUCUCUGCCCUCCAUGCCUCAAACCUCCACACUGACAGAUUUGAAUGUUGAAAGCGGUGGAAGACGUUAUUCACAAACAUUGUUGUCUUAUGAUGGAAACAGAUUGGUUGUUACAGGGUAUGGCGGUGCUUUGGCCUACCACAAUCUGGAGAAAGUAGAAUAUAUGGCUAUUGAAAAUGUAUCGCACAUAUCAUUGACAGACAUCAAAAAGCUUAAAUCCUUAACAGAACUAAGUGUCGGAAGAUGCGACGAUUUGUUCCCUGAAGAGCUGGAUGGCAGUAUUGUCUUCCAUUCAGUUAAGAGUCUCGAAUUAGACGCAUCUCAUCUUACCAGCAGCAAAUCAUCAUCGUCGAAAGUGUUAAACUGUUUCCCAGCUCUUUCUGUGUUGGUGAUAGUUGGCUAUGAGGAAUGUGUAAUGCAGUUCCCAUCAUCCACCUCACUGCAGAAACUUACCUUCUCAAGGUGUAAGGGCCUAGUUCUUGUGCCUGUGGAGAAUGGAGGAGGAAUUCAGGAGGACAAGUCAUUGCUCCAAUCAUUAACCAUAGUCAGCUGUGGCGAAUUGUUCUGUCGGUGGCCAAUGAGAGAAUCAGAGACCAUUUGCCCUUUCCCUGCUUCCCUGAGGGAACUUGAUGUUCGUGAAGAGCCAAGCAUGAAGUCAAUGGCUCUGCUCUCAAACCUCACGUCUCUCACCACUCUAAGCCUAAAAGACUGCUGUAAUCUAACAGUGGACGGAUUCAAUCCUCUCGUCGCAGUCAACCUCAUGGAACUGGAUGUGCGUAUGUGCAAAACCUUAGCAGCAGAUAUGCUCUCAGAGGUGGCCAAAUUAUUGCCUGCAGGUUACAUCUCUAGACUAGAGAAACUCACGGUGGAUGACAUCUGUGGAUUGCUUGUUGCUCCUAUUUGCAACCUCCUCGCCCCGGCCCUCCACACACUUAUAUUCGAGAAAGACAAUGAGAGGAUGGAAGGCUUGACGGAAGAGCAAGAGAAAGCGCUGCAGCUCCUCACCUCCCUCCACAACCUAGGAUUUUGGUGGUGCGACGGUCUGCAGUCCCUUCCUCAAGGGUUACAUCGUCUCUCUUCUCUCAAGGAGUUACGUGUCUUUGGGUGUGAAGAAAUCCGAUCGAUGCCCAAGGAGGGCCUCCCCGUUUCGCUGAGAGAACUCCAGAUGAAUUGUCGCAGCGCUGAGAUAAAGGAGCAAAUUGAGAAAAUCAAAAGAGCCAACCCAGAUUUGUACGUCUAUUGA